CUGUUGUGAUGAUAAUUUCUACAUCUUGUAAGGGGUUUGAGUUGCACAAGUAUAAGCAUUUGUCAAAACUUAGCAAGUGUACACUUAAAAUUGAUACAUUAUCUGUAAUUUUACAUCUGAGGGGAAAAAUGUAAGCAAAUCUUGAACUCUAGUUAAAGAUAUGCACACUGACAUAUGUAGGUCGAAGUUUACUUAUGGCUAUAUUAUAAUUUGAAAUUGACUAAAAAUAAGAUGGAUUGAUGGAUGGAAAGAGAAAUGGGUGGGUAGAUCUAUGUGAUAAAGAAAGAAUAAUGAAAUAUUAGUGGUGGAGUCUGGUGAUGGGAUUUUGGGUAUUCUCUGAAAAUGCUUUCAAAUUCACUGCAUAUAUGAAAUUUCUCAAUAAAAUAUUAGUGAAAUAUCUGACAAGUAAUGCCUUUCAAAUAAUUUAAUUAGUCCUCAGUUUAAGGUGAAUUCAAUAACAACAAAAAAUAAUUGAGCGCGUGUCAUCUAUAAAGCAAUGUUAUGUAUUAUACUAAGAAUAUAAGAAUAAAGACAAAGUACUUGACUCAGAAAGCUUGCAAUUUCAUUUUUGUUGUUGUUCAGUUGCUGAGUCAUGCCUGACUCUCUUCGACCCCAUGGACUGCAGUACGCCAGGCUUCCCUAUCCCUCACCGUCACUUGGAAUUGGUUCAAACUCACGUCCAUUGAUUCAGGGAUGCCAUCCAACCAUCUCGUCCUCUGUCUCCCUCUUCUCCUCCUGUCCUCAGUCUUUCCCAGCAUCAGGGUCUUAUUCGUUGAGUCAGUUUUUCCCUUCAGGGGGCCAAAGUAUUGGAGCUUCAGCUUCAGCAUCAGUCCUUCCAGUGAAAUUUCAUAAGGCAGACCAAACCCAACCCAAACUGUCAUGGGGACAAACACAGACUAGCAGCUGAUGAAAGGUGGACGGAAUUGGGUUCAGAUGACUGGACGAGCCAGCAUUGUGUUUGGCCAGAUGGCGGAAUCUCCCAGAAGGAGAAGGACACACGGCUGGUGAAACUCCAGUGCUUCAGUGGACCCAUCAGAGUCUUGGAGCUGCUGUAUUCUCAUGCUUCCUUCAUGGAUCUGCAUGUUAGGGGGUGAUGUACCCAAUGUCUCAACAAUCGCCAGUCUCAAAACCACUUGUUGUGAUUGCUCAAUCGCCCAGUCACAUCCAGCUCUUUGCAACCCCAUGGACUGCAGCACGCCAGGCUUCCCUGUCCCUCACCGUCUCCUGGAGUUUGCCCAAAUUCAUGUUCAUUGCAUUGGUGAUGCCAUCUAGCCAUCUCAUCCUCUGAUGGGCUCUUCUCCUUAUGCUUUCAAUCUUUCCUAGCAUCAGGGACUUUUCCAAUGAAUCAUCUGUUCAGUCAGAUAACCAAAGUACUGGAGCUUCAGCUUCAGCAUCAGUCCUUCCAGUGAAUAUUCAGGGUUGAUCUCUUUUAAGAUUGAUUUACUACUUACUUCACCAAUUAACAAACUUCUAUCCCUUAUGCUAAUUAGCAAAUCUUCCAAUGUGGAUUUUUUAAAAUAUGUUUUUAAUUGAAGUAUAAUUGGUUUACAAUGUGUUGAUUACUGCUGUGCAGUGAAGUGAUUCAGUUACACACACACACACAUAUAUAUACACACAUUCUUUUUAGAUAUUCUUUUCCAUUAUGAUUUAUCACAGCAUAGUGACUAUAGUGGGAUUCCCGGUUGGUGCAGUGGUGUAGAAUCCAUAUACCAAGCAGGAGACCCGGGGUUUGAUCCCUGGGUUGGGAAGGUCUCCUGGAGAAGGAAAUGGUAAUUCACUCCAGUAUUCUUGCCUGGAGAAUCCCAUGGACAGAGGAGACUGUUGGGCUACAGUCCAGGGGGUCGCAAAGAGCUGGACAUGAUUGAGUGACUGAGCACACAUCAUUUUGUAAAACUGGAAGGCAAGAUAGAGGGAGAAUAAUUUGUACUGACCUAAAUUUAGACUACAAGAGAAAAAGGCCCCAUGAGCUCUGCAUAGAAGCCUUGGAAGCAAGUGAAAAAAAAAUUAAUCCUUAGAAUGGCUUCCAUGGGAGAGCAUCAUUAUGCUUCCCCUCGAUUAGCUGAAGAAUCAUUUGUAGUGCUGCGACAACCUCUGAGGAAGCAGAAAUUUUCUACAUAGAGCCCGUGUCUGAUGCCGCUGAACUGGGGUGUCAACAAUCGUAGGUCUUGGACUCUGGAACCUACCUGUACCUAUUACAAGUGUACUUUUGCUUUGAUUGCCUUUGAAGUUUUCUCUAAAGAUUCAAUAGAUACUCUGCAGUCUCUUCAUUCAGGCUACUUUCAAGCCAACUUUAAAUUUUAUUACUGUUUCAAGCAAUCUGUGUUAAUUAUUAACCAAGUAGUUGGAUGAAGAAACUCCUGGAUUACAUGGGAAAAAAAACUGCAGCUUUUCAGGCUAAGUCUGUUUACUGCUUCCCCGAUGGCUCAGCAAAUAAAGAUUCUGCCUCCAACUCA
rnacentral:lncRNA from 1 species